rnacentral:rRNA from 1 species
UAGGGAAUCUUCCGCAAUGGGCGAAAGCCUGACGGAGCAACGCCGCGUGAGUGAUGAAGGUCUUCGGAUCGUAAAACUCUGUUAUUAGGGAAGAACAAAUGUGUAAGUAACUAUGCACGUCUUGACGGUACCUAAUCAGAAAGCCACGGCUAACUACGUGCCAGCAGCCGCGGUAAUACGUAGGUGGCAAGCGUUGUCCGGAUUUAUUGGGCGUAAAGCGAGCGCAGGCGGUCAAUUAAGUCUGAUGUGAAAGCCCCCGGCUCAACCGGGGAGGGUCAUUGGAAACUGUUUGACUUGAGUGCAGAAGAGGAGAGUGGAAUUCGAUGUGUAGCGGUGAAAUGCGUAGAUAUAUGGAGGAACACCAGUGGCGAAGGCGACUCUCUGGUCUGUAACUGACGCUGAGGUUCGAAAGCGUGGGUAGCAAACAGG